GUCGAGACAGAGCACCAUGAGCUAGCAAGCGACAUAUCGUCGUAGCAAGUUUCAAAGGUUUUAGUAGUCGACUCGAGAUAAAACAUAAAUCUGCUACUGACAACUUUACAACUAGUUUUCAAUGCUUCAUUUUGCAGCCAACAGUCUCGGAAUCUUCUGAUAAAGUAUCUGCAACCAGAAAAUGGAGAGUGAUUCACCAACGGACCUCCAAAGAUCACCCGAUGAGAGAGGAUGUGCCAGCCACUUGUCAGUGCUUCCUGAGAAGCUACAACAGAGACUGAUGCCGUUCCAAAAGGAGGGAGUAGCAUUUGCGUUAUCAAGGGAUGGAAGGUGCAUGAUCGCAGACGAGAUGGGUCUUGGGAAGACGGUCCAGGCCAUCUCGGUGGCCUACUCCUACCGGCAGGAGUGGCCGCUCCUCAUCGUGGUGCCCUCCUCCCUCAAGUACCCCUGGAUCGAGGAGAUGGAGCGCUGGAUCCCGGAGCUCAACCCCGGAGACAUCAACCUGGUGGAGAGCAAGAGCGAUACCACGGGCAUCGGCACCAGUAAGGUGACCGUGCUGGGUUACGGCCUGCUUACCACCGAUGCUCGCUCCCUCGUGGAGGCGUUGACCAGGCAGAAGUUUGCCGUCGUGGUGGUGGAUGAGUCCCACUACCUCAAGUCCAAGAACGCUGCUCGCAGCAAAAUCCUGGUGCCGCUCAUCCAGAGCACCAAGCGCGCCAUCCUGCUGACGGGCACCCCCGCCCUGGGGCGGCCGGAGGAGCUCUUCACACAGAUCGACUCUCUGUACCCCAAGAGGUUUGGAACAUGGAGUGACUACACCAAGAAAUACUGUAACGCUCAUUACAGGUUCUUUGGCAACCGGAGACAAUGGGACUGUCGGGGGGCGUCACACCUGGAGGAGCUGCAUCAGCGUCUGAGCGAGAUAAUGAUCCGCAGACUCAAGACCCAGGUCCUCACCCAGCUCCCCCCCAAGAUCCGCCAGCGCAUCCCCUUUGACCUGCCCAAAGAAGCUGCCAAGGAGGCGUGCGCCAGCUUGGAGGAGUGGGAGAGGCUGAUGAAGAGGCUGGGCUCGGGGCCAGCAGCCCCCGACACUGACGGCAGCCCCUUCACCCAGGUCAUGGGCGUCAUCACGCGCAUGUACAAGCAGACCGCCGUCGCCAAGGCUGGGGCAGUGAAGGACUACAUCAAGAUGCUGCUGGAGAGCGACAAGCUCAAGUUCCUGGUGUUCGCCCACCACCUCACCAUGCUGCAGGCCUGCACCGAGGCUGUCAUCGAAGCCAAGGCCGGUUACAUCCGCAUCGACGGCAGCGUCCCGUCGUCUGAGCGCAUCCAGCUGGUUCAUCGCUUCCAGAACGACCCCAGUACUCGCGUGGCAGUCCUCAGCAUCCAGGCAGCCGGUCAGGGUCUGACGUUCACAGCGGCCUCUCACGUGGUGUUCGCUGAGCUGUACUGGAACCCGGGCCACGUGAAGCAGGCCGAGGACCGCGCUCACCGCAUCGGCCAGACCGCCUCCGUGCACGUGCACUACCUCAUCGCCAAGGGAACGUUCGACACGGUCAUGUGGGGCAUGCUGAACCGGAAGGAAACGGUCACGGGCAGCACCCUGAACGGCAGGAAGGAGUACCUGAAUGCCGAGGUCGGGGAUAAAGACAAGUGGGACUUCCUCAACUUCUCCAGUGCCUGGACACCCAGCACGGUGCCCGUGGGAGGGGACCCAGACGCGGACACAGACGGCGUCUUCUUCUCCCACUUUGAGAGGGACAAGCAGCACGACAUCCGCUCCUUCUUCUCUCCAAACGCGACCAAGGAGAAGAAGAGGAAGAGGACCUCGCUGGAGGGAGAGGGAGCCAGGCCUGCGCUGGAAGAGGAGGGGACCCCGUGUCCAGCACCCAGCCAGCCAGACCAGGACUUCUCCCCCCAGGUGAAGAGGCUGCGGACGCCCGGCCCCAGCCCCAGGUCUCGACUGGAGGCCAAGAGGAGGUCCUGUGCUGGGGGAUCCAGCCCCCAGUGCCCCCUGUUUGGCCCCCACAGGCUCUCUGAGAGAGCCCCGCCCAGGCCCGAGGUGGCAGGGCAGGGGCUAAAGUGGAGCUGUGGGGCUUGUACUUACUGCAACAGCACUCUGCUGCCCUACUGUGAGAUGUGCGAGUCCCCACGCCCCACCUCUGAGCCCACUGCCUCUGCCGUAACACAGCCCCUCAGCCCAGCAGAGCCCCUCAGCCCAGCAGAGCCCCUCAGCCCAGCAGCGCCCCUCAGCCCAGCAGAGCCCCUCAGCCCAGCAGCCAGAGACAGAGACCUCCCCGACCCGUGUGUCGGCCCAGCCGCCAGCCAACCACAGCCCAACCCUGGCCCACACCCCGGCCCACACCCCGGCCCACACCCCGGCCCACACCCCGGCCCAGCUUCUCACACAGCACCUGAGCCACACACAGACGCACCGCAACCAGAGGAGGACGAGAGGCCUGGAGGCAAACAAUCAGCGCUCUGUGAUCACACGGAAGCCCAGAGAGACAGAGUGUGUGCGUCCAGUCCGAGUGAGGAGCACAGCUCAGGCGGUCUUCCUCUGUACCCCAACCUGAAGUUCUGUACCAGCAAGAACACAGACAGGGUCUACCUCUACACCAAGGAUGGUGCUCCCCUCAACUGCAACUUCAUCCCCCUGGACAUCAGCCUGGACAACUGGGAGGACCUGCCGCCGGCCUUCAGACGCAGGGAGAACAGCACCCAGGUGCUGAGGUUUGUGAGGGAAUGGACCACUCUGACAGCCAUGAAGCAGAGGCUGGUGCGUCGGAGCGGUCAGCUGUUUCACAGUCCCAUCCUGGCCCUGGACGAGCUGACCAGCACCCAGCGCAGACACAGCAGCACCAAGAGGUACCUGAGGCGGGAGGACGUGGCGGAGGCCUCCCUCAGCAGGGCCCAGCAGGAGGGCGGAAGCGUCCGUGUGAUCGCCACCGAGCGCUUCUUCUCCAGGAGGAGAUCUGCCCCCCAGGCUUCGCCCCCCGCUGCCCCCCAGGCUUCGCCCCCCGCUGCCCCCCAGGCUUCGCCCCCCGCUGCCCCCCAGGCUUCGCCCCCCGCCGGCCCAGAGAGAGACAGUGAGGCUCCAGCCCCUCCCACAGGGGACCCCUCCGAGCCGGGGUACCUGCAGGCGGUGGACAGCGCGGGGGUGCCCCUCUGCCUGCUCUGCCAGAAGGCCUGCCCCCCUGUUCCAGAGGGGGCCUCGGCCGACGCCCGCUUCUGCAGCCAGGCCUGCCAGGAGGAGUUCCAGCUGCGCUCCAGCCAGGCCUACAUGAGGGCCCGCGUGCUGCAGACGGAGCAGGGGGUGUGUCAGCACUGCGGCCUGCAGGCCCACCAGCUGUACCUGAGGGUGAGGGACGCUCCCCCCGCCCACAGGAAGGAGAUACUGGAGGGAACCUGGCUGGAGCAGCUGUCACUCAAACAGCUGAAUGAGAUGAUCCGUAACCCAGUGGAGGGCCACUUCUGGCAGGUGGACCACAUCCGGCCGGUCUACAGUGGGGGGGGGCAGUGCUCCCUGGACAACCUCCAGACCCUCUGCACUGUCUGCCACAGAUCUAGGACUUCUCAGCAGGCCAAGGAGCGCAGCCAGAUGAGAAGAGGACUGUCAGCCUCCAAGGUUACCUCUGACAUCAGCAGGUUCUUCAUCAAGAAAUGACAUGGUGUCACCGGGGAAGACACCGUCUCUUCUCCUGACGUGUAGGCUUGCUUAGCCGUCGCUUCCCCGUGUCUUACGAUCACGUUCAGGGACUAUAAUGGAGAAAGAAAAAAUCACUGCAAGAUAUCAAUAUCAGAAUUCAUUUUUAUCGUCUGGAGAGACAGAUGACAGGAUCAUCAUUCAGGCCCAGGGAGGUACAUACAGUAAGUGGUUGACUGCAGGAUCCACAUUAUAAUUACAUUUUCACGCAAGUGUUUAGUGGAAUGAUAUCGAGGACUAUCAGUCAAAAAUGAUCCAAUUAAUCUAUUAAAAGAAAAUUGUUGAUCGGAUUACUUUCACUCACCAAAAAAUCAAUUAUUGUGCAGUGUAUACUUUGUCACUGAACCACACACCAUUUAAUGUGUGUAUCAAAUUACACAAUUAUUUAGGCUACAUCCUUUUUUAUUAAUGUCAUAUGGAGGAAUGAUCUGAUGUACAGCGGGACGUAAAUGCUCUUUCAGCUGAGCAAGAGGUGGCUCUCUCGCAUCCUAAAUCUAUUCAGAUGGCGCGCUAUCGUUCCCUAAAAUGCAUUGCAUGCAAGGGAUUAUUUCCGAAAACGCAAUCAAUUCCCACAGUGGGGAAUCAAAGCAAAAUAAGACAAGGCUCUUAGCAUAAUUCAGACAUUUCGCAAUCUGUGUGGAUUAAUGUAGGCCCUAUAAUGCUGGAGCAGCUCUGUCUCACCUGGUGUUCAUUACAGUGCGCAGGGCUCAAUGACCAUUUGUGUCCCGGAGUUAGAGUGCUAAGGUAUUGUUUUGGGGUGGACUACAUCCAAGAGUUUACAGUUUCUGUGACAGUGAUUUACCAAUAACGAGUUAUGAAUGGCACAAUUGGGGCGGCCAGAAUGUAGCGUAGGUAGAGUGGAAUGUGUUACUGCCAAAUGCGUUGUGGUAUCACUCAGCGAAGCCAGUGAUUAAAAGAGGAGCUUGUGGUCAAAUGUUCAACACCCUGCCUUGUGGUUUCGUUCAACACCUUUCUUGAAAUAUUUUAUAUCGAGGCUAGAACCAAAAAUUAAAGGUCGUUAAUUAUGAAAAAUAAAACGAUGCACAUUCCCCGUCUGUUGGUGCCAUAUAAAAGUCCAGGCAAGUGAGGGACAGUGACAACAUCAUUACUGGGGUAUAGCAGGCGGUCCCCUCCAUCACCCCCGUGCGACAGGCAGACACCCUAGCACCAUGACUGUCACCUCCCUAGUGAACAUGCAGCCAAUGACUUGCAUCUAAUGAGGACCGUAUUCGAACAACACAGCCUAUGGGCUGCAAUUGGUGAAGGCAGCAAACAAUCAGAUGUGCCCAGCUCUAGGCUACAAUUUCUGUUCAAGCUGAUCAAAUAUCCAGUGGUUUUCUAUAUGAAGCUUACUUUGAUUGUCAAUUGUUUUGAUGGUAAACGACAGGGAAACUGUGUAGGCCUUGUCUUUCAUGCGGGGUGGACAUGCUGUAUGCGGAGAAAAUAGAAACCACAGUGAGAAGCUUACCAAAAUCUACCGUCUUUGAAGUGUCCUUUAACCCAGACGGAAGGGUUAUUAUUCUGACUAUAAUGAAACAAAAAACCUCUCCUUAGCUUGAGGAACCAUUAGCUGUGCUCUUUAGAGAAUAUAAAUAGGAUGGUCUUGGGGAACAACACUCCACCCUCUCGCAGACUAAUUAAACCAGGAAAGGGUGAGACUGUAGGGUCCUCCGCCUCGUUAUAAAUGAGGAGGCGAUGCCUUGAAUUUCAAACGAACCACCCAGGCAGUAAGCACACCCCUGGCCAGCCAAGCGUGUCCACAGAGGCGUGUGAUUGAGAAUGUCUGGGUAGUACCGGAGCACAUAAGUCAAUGUUUGUUUUCGCUGGCGAAUACUCGAAGGCGUGGGUAAAACGCCCUCAAGAAUUCCAUGGGCCUGCACCUGACAAGAUAUAAACGCUAGUCUUCGGUAGGUAGCCUCGGCUAUCCGUUCCGUCAUGGUAGCCUACACCAAAAUAAAAAGCAGCAGUCUCUCCAUGUCUUUCUGGACCCUGUUCAACUCAAAUAGGUCACUGAUGUGCCAUAAUUAGUUCAAAAGCCGAGGUUUGUGAAUAAUUGAUGGUCAGGACAUUUCCCCCACGUUUUGAAUGACAGCUAGUAGAGAAAUAAAGUAAAGUAGCUAGGCUAAUGUGUAUGGUGGAAUUGAGGAAUUAGUAUUGGAAUUUAAAAUCUAGACCAGAAUACCGGAGGGAUCAGUACAUGAUAGAUCCAUCUUGGAUCGCGUCUGAUCUUGUGGAUUUAUCUCAUGUUAACGCCUGCAUCCUUCCGGGAGCUGGUGUCAGCAGGAAUCCAGGACACCCCAAUAACCGUAAUUGGAGUUAUGGCCACCAGAAGAGUAGUCAAACUUGGAGGGGGCUAACUGCGAUCUGGAAGUUCAAACAGAAAGGGUGCAGGCAGGGUUUGGCUCCUUCAUAGUGGGUCACGGACUUGGAUUAAUUUUACAUGUACGUACAGUUAAAGCCAACCCUAAUUAACAAGCCCUUAAAUAUUCAGUGAACUGCAGAGCACAUGUGAUCAGGAGACCUUGGUUCUUGUUCUUAGACGUACAACGGUUGAAGCUUAAUUU